CAGCCGCCGCGGUAAUACGUAGGUGACAAGCGUUGUCCGGAAUUAUUGGGCGUAAAGGGCUCGCAGGCGGUUUCUUAAGUCUGAUGUGAAAGCCCCCGGCUCAACCGGGGAGGGUCAUUGGAAACUGGGAAACUUGAGUGCAGAAGAGGAGAGUGGAAUUCCACGUGUAGCGGUGAAAUGCGUAGAGAUGUGGAGGAACACCAGUGGCGAAGGCGACUCUCUGGUCUGUAACUGACGCUGAGGAGCGAAAGCGUGGGGAGCGAACAGGAUUAGAUACCCCAGUAGUCCCUGUCUCUUAUAC
rnacentral:rRNA from 1 species